UGUGAAGCGGGAAGGUGGAGACGUUAAGGGGAUCCUGGCCACGGUAUCGAGGUCUAACCGGGGGUCUAACCGUAGUAUGACUGGGUUCCCACAGAGCUCCCGUGUCCUCUGUGCAACAGGAGAAGGAUGCACAGGGGUCGGACGGAGCAGGUGAAAUGUGACCACGACCCCUCCCCGCGCACAGCGGACACUGCAGGUAAAGAAGGACAAUGGUGGCCGAUGAUCGCGGCUUGGAGUGGAACGCGUUCCAGAGGACGUCCACAGCGGAGAUGGGGCGACGGAGAGAGCCCGUGACUGAGCUGUGAAUCCACGUGUGGAGUCUGUGCCAAGGGCCCCAUCUAGAGGCGCACGGAGGUCAUUGCCAAUGUGAUGCUUGAUGCGAUACGCGGAAUGUGGUGUGUGAAACUAAACUAUUUGAUAUUUUACCAGGUAAGGCCCACGGAGCUAAAUAGCUCUUUUUCAGAAGCGACCUGGCCUCAAAUGGUAGCUCAACAGAGGCGGUGGAAUUUCAUAGCAGCCAAAUAUCCUAAAUGUGGAGGGAAACAUCUGAGGACCCGGAGGACAAAUCCGCGUGAGCACUGUGAGAGAGAACGUGCAAACUCAAAUAUACAGCAGGUGUCAGCUUCGGGAUGGAACCCACGAGCACCUGUAUACCAGGCGAGGUAGUUAACAUUUCACAACCGUGGCCAAAGGUGGCCGGUUGCGGCCUUUGUAGGUGCUACUUGCCAGCAGCACUUGGGCCUAACAGUCUUAAGGCUAUACAGGGGAUCUUUGUUUUGACCUGCAGUGUGGUGGUCGAGUGGGCGGUUGUUGUGGUGGACAAACGCGGCGCGAUCGACACCAGCGUCGCGCUGACCGAGUCCUCGACAUGGGAGGAGGAAUUGAGCGAAGUUAACGGGAGCCGUAUUCGUGGUAGUAGCCAUUGUCGAGUAACGAGGCGACUAACCGCCAAUGUUUGAAAAUAAAACGGCUUGAGUACGA